GGGUUGAGGGUCAGGGAUGGGGUGGGUCCGGUACCACCCCUUUCCCUCCCCCUUUAUUUGCCUUCCCCCCCUUUCUCCCCCCGCCCAGGGCCAGCAACCACGGCAUCAGCCUGGACGAGAUCCCGGCCGAGCGGCGCCGCAAGCUGGAGAAGGCGCGGCCGGGGCAGGUGCUGAAAUAGCCCCCAGGGGGAGGGGCCAGGCAGCCCCCCCGGCCCCGGGGCAUCAUGGGACAUCGCCAAGGGCGCACAGCAUGCUGGGACAGCGGCCAUCUUGGAAGCGGUGCAGCACGGGAUGGGCCGAGCCCGCGGCGCGCUGGGAUUGGUCCUCCCAGCCCGGAGGGGAGGGGCCAGCGUGCUGAUUGGCUGCCCUGCCCCCCGGGGCCAGUGACGUCACUGGAAGCCCCUCCCCCGCUCUUAAAGGGGAAGGCAGAGGCGGGCGGGGGAUUUUUGUCUGGGGACACAAAAUGCCCCUAAAGGGGCGGGGCUUCCUAAAGGGGGCGUGGCCUCCUGAUCUGGGCGUGGCCUCUUAAAGGGACAGCGCCGCCCACCCCCAUUUUGUGUCCCCCCCCCCCCCCCCCCCCCCCCCCCCCCCCCCAAAGGGCUGGAAUAUUUCUCUGUAGACCAAAAAUGUGAAGUAAAGGGGUGGGGGCAGCUCGGGCCCUGCCUCCCAGGAUAUUUGUCUGUAGACAAAAAAAAACCAAAAAGUUCUCGACUGAUAAAGGGGCAACCCCAGGGUGGCGGCUGGGCUGGAGGGGGAGGGCGGCCUUGGGGCUGGGGGGGCUUAAAGGGGAGGGGGGCGCGGAACUGGUCCGUACGAGGUUGGCCAUCUUGGAUUUGGCCUUGGGGGGGUUUGAAAAGGGGAGGGGAGACACAGACCUGGUCCGUACCAAGUUGGCCAUCUUGGAUUUGGCCUUGAGGGCGUCUUAAAUAGGAAGAAGGACACGAACGAAGCCCGUGCCAAAUCAGCCAUUUUGGUUUUGUAUUUAGGGGGGUGUCUUAAAGGGGAGGGGAGACCCAGACUGUGUCCGUAACAAGCUGCCCACUUCAGUUUUCUACUUGGGAGUGUCUUAAAGGGGAGGAGGAACACGACUGUAGUCCAUACAAAGUCGGCCAUAUUGGUUUUGUACAUGGGAGGUGUCUUAAAGAGGUGGGGGGACACAGACGCAGUCCACACAAAGUUGGCCAUCUUGGAUUUGGACUUGGGGGGGUUUGAAAAGGGGAGGGGAGACGCAGACCUGGUCCAUACCAAGUUGGCCAUAUUGGAUUUGGCCUUGGGGGUGUCUUAAAAGGGAGGAAGGAGUUGGACCAGGUCCAUAGCAAGCCGGCCAUCUUAGUUUUUUACUUGGGGUUGUGUUACAG
rnacentral:lncRNA from 1 species